CUUUCGGAGCUGUGCGGCAUUCUGAGCAGGAAUGGCAGUGUGGACCUCUGUGAUGGGACAUCUUGUGGGAUCUCACAGCCAGUUCUGUGGCAAAGGAGGAUGAAGGCUUACGAGGACUCGUCAGGAAGCUGGAUAACAGAGCGAGCGCAAUGUGGAGUUUGAGGCUGGAUAGACAGUUUGAAAGGGCUCCUGUGACAAGUGGACAUGCAGUGACUGCACCUUUGUUUCUGAGGUGCCUGGAUGGAGGCUCAAAUAGAAGAUGGUGUCAGAUAUAUUGUGUUAAAAUUUUACCAUUAAAGUGUAUUAUAACAUGAA
rnacentral:lncRNA from 1 species